AUGAACGCUGGCGGCGUGCCUAAUCCAUGCAAGUCGAGCGAACAGACGAGGAGCUUGCUCCUCUGACGUUAGCGGCGGACGGGUGAGUAACACGUGGAUAACCUACCUAUAAGACUGGGGUAACUUCGGGAAACCGGAGCUAAUACCGGAUAAUAUAUUGAACCGCAUGGUUCAAUAGUGAAAGACGGUUUUGCUGUCACUUAUAGAUGGAUCCGCGCCGCAUUAGCUAGUUGGUAAGGUAACGGCUUACCAAGGCAACGAUGCGUAGCCGACCUGAGAGGGUGAUCGGCCACACUGGAACUGAGACACGGUCCAGACUCCUACGGGAGGCAGCAGUAGGGAAUCUUCCGCAAUGGGCGAAAGCCUGACGGAGCAACGCCGCGUGAGUGAUGAAGGUCUUCGGAUCGUAAAACUCUGUUAUUAGGGAAGAACAAAUGUGUAAGUAACUAUGCACGUCUUGACGGUACCUAAUCAGAAAGCCACGGCUAACUACGUG
rnacentral:rRNA from 1 species